GCAGUCGAAGCGAACAGAUAAGGAAGCUCGGCUCCUUCUGACGUUAGCGGCGGACGGGUGAGUAACACGUGGGUAACCUACCUAUAAGACUGGAAUAACUCCGGGAAACCGGGGCUAAUGCCGGAUAACAUUUAGAACCGCAUGGUUCUAAAGUGAAAGAUGGUUUUGCUAUCACUUAUAGAUGGACCCGCGCCGUAUUAGCUAGUUGGUAAGGUAACGGCUUACCAAGGCAACGAUACGUAGCCGACCUGAGAGGGUGAUCGGCCACACUGGAACUGAGACACGGUCCAGACUCCUACGGGAGGCAGCAGUAGGGAAUCUUCCGCAAUGGGCGAAAGCCUGACGGAGCAACGCCGCGUGAGUGAUGAAGGUCUUCGGAUCGUAAAACUCUG
rnacentral:rRNA from 1 species